rnacentral:rRNA from 1 species
UACGUAGGGUGCGAGCGUUGUCCGGAAUUACUGGGCGUAAAGAGCUCGUAGGCGGUUUGUCGCGUCGUCUGUGAAAUUCUGCAACUCAAUUGCAGGCGUGCAGGCGAUACGGGCAGACUUGAGUACUACAGGGGGAGACUGGAAUUCCUGGUGUAGCGGUGAAAUGCGCAGAUAUCAGGAGGAACACCGAUGGCGAAGGCAGGUCUCUGGGCAUUAACUGACGCUGAGGAGCGAAAGCGUGGGGAGCGAACAGG